rnacentral:rRNA from 1 species
UACGUAGGUGGCAAGCGUUGUCCGGAUUUACUGGGCGUAAAGAGCGCGCAGGCGGUCGUUCAAGUCGCGUGUGAAAGCCCCCGGCUCAACUGGGGAGGGUCACGCGAUACUGAUCGACUCGAAGGCAGGAGAGGGAAGUGGAAUUCCCGGUGUAGUGGUGAAAUGCGUAGAGAUCGUGAGGAAGACCCGUGGCGAAGGCGGAUCUCUGGACGGCUAACUGACGCUGAGGCGCGAAGGCCAGGGGAGCAAACGGG